CCUACGGGCGGCAGCAGUGGGGAAUAUUGGACAAUGGGGGCAACCCUGAUCCAGCCAUGCCGCGUGUGUGAAGAAGGCCCUCGGGUUGUAAAGCACUUUCAGUGAGGAAGAACGCCUGGUGGUUAAUACCCAUCAGGAAAGACAUCACUCACAGAAGAAGCACCGGCUAACUCCGUGCCAGCAGCCGCGGUAAUACGGAGGGUGCGAGCGUUAAUCGGAAUUACUGGGCGUAAAGCGCGCGUAGGUGGCUUGAUAAGCCGGUUGUGAAAGCCCCGGGCUCAACCUGGGAACGGCAUCCGGAACUGUCAAGCUAGAGUGCAGGAGAGGAAGGUAGAAUUCCCGGUGUAGCGGUGAAAUGCGUAGAGAUCGGGAGGAAUACCAGGGGCGAAGGCGGCCUUCUGGACUGACACUGACACUGAGGUGCGAAAGCGUGGGUAGCAAACAGGAUUAGAUACCCUGUAGUC
rnacentral:rRNA from 1 species